rnacentral:rRNA from 1 species
UACGAAGGGUGCAAGCGUUACUCGGAAUUACUGGGCGUAAAGCGUGCGUAGGUGGUGAGUUAAGUCUGAUGUGAAAGCCCCGGGCUCAACCUGGGAAUGGCCGUUGAAACUGGCGAACUGGAGUGUGGCAGAGGGGGGUGGAAUUCCGCGUGUAGCAGUGAAAUGCGUAGAUAUCGGGAGGAACACCUGUGGCGAAAGCGGCUCACUGGACCACAACUGACGCUGAGGCGCGAAAGCUAGGGGAGCAAACAGG